AAGAGCCCGGAUUGUGUUGCUGGCCACAUCCAGCAGCUGCAAGUAUUCAUCUGCGCCAUCAACAAGACACUUAUCAGCUGCAGCCAAACUCUUGCAUAUUCGAGCUUUCUGUUCAUCUGAUAUGUCAUCUGCUUCAACCACUAGCUCAAAUAACUGAACAAGCAUCUGAGAGACUGGAUAGCCUUCUGCAAUUACAUUAUUGACCUCAUUGUUUGCCGAAUCAAAGUCCCCACUUUUGCAUGCUGCAU
rnacentral:misc_RNA from 1 species